UCUUUGUUGGAUUUGUUUUUGUUUCUAGAUUUGGUCAAAUUACAGAUAUAUUGACUUGUUUCUGGAACCUAGAUUAAGCUUUGAUUGUCAGCACGCCAUAUCACACCCAUCCCAAGACACUAAAGCUAAGGUACAAACUGGGAUUAGAGACCCCACUAUGCUUAGCCGUAAACUGAGGUAAUUAAAUAACAAAAUUACUCGCCAGAGAACUACUAGCCACUGCUUAAAACUCAAAGGACUUGGCAGUGCCCUAGAUCUACCUAGAGGAGCCUGUUCUAUAAUCGAUAAACUCAUCGCCUCACUCCUUCUCACUUUUCAGUCUAUAUAACGCCAUCGUCAGCUCACCCCAACAGGGUUCCAAAAUGAGCAAAAUCAUGAAACCAUAAAAACGUUAGGUCAAGGUAUAGCAUAUGAAAGGGGAAGCAAUGGGCUACAUUUUCUAUGUUAGAACACAACAGAUUGUCUAUUGAAACAAAGACAUGAAGGAGGAUUUAGUAGUAAAUUAAGAAUAGAGAGCUUAAUUGAAAUAGGCAAUAGGGUGCGUACACACCGCCCAUCACCCUCCUCAAUAAAGUAACUUCAAAUACCUAAUAAGAAUACGCCAAAAAGAGAAGAAAACUCAUAACAUGGUAAGUGUACUGGAAAGUGCACUUGGACAAUCAAAAUG
rnacentral:ncRNA from 1 species